AUAAAAGGUACUCCGGGGAUAACAGGCUUAUCGCGCCCAAGAGUUCACAUCGACGGCGCGGUUUGGCACCUCGAUGUCGGCUCAUCGCAUCCUGGGGCUGGAGCAGGUCCCAAGGGUUUGGCUGUUCGCCAAUUAAAGCGGUACGUGAGCUGGGUUUAGAACGUCGUGAGACAGUUCGGUCCCUAUCUUUCGUGGGCGUAGGAUAUUUGAGAGGAGCUUUCCCUAGUACGAGAGGACCGGGAUGGACGAACCGCUAGUGUACCAGUUGUCGCGCCAGCGGCAUAGCUGGGUAGCUACGUUCGGAAUGGAUAACCGCUGAAAGCAUCUAAGCGGGAAGCCAACCUCAAGAUAAGAUAUCCCUCCCGAUGGAGACAUCGGGACUUAAGACCCCUUGUAGACUACAAGGUUGAUAGGCCAGGUGUAUAAGUGCGGUAACGUAUUUAGCUAACUGGUACUAAUAGGUCGUGCGGCUUGGCCAU
rnacentral:rRNA from 1 species